rnacentral:rRNA from 1 species
GCAAGUCGAGCGGUAACAGAGAGAAGCUUGCUUCUCUGCUGACGAGCGGCGGACGGGUGAGUAAUACUUGGGAAUUUGCCUUUAGGCGGGGGACAACCACGGGAAACUGUGGCUAAUACCGCAUAAUGUCUACGGACCAAAGUGGGGGACCUUCGGGCCUCACACCUAAAGAUGAGCCCAAGCGGGAUUAGCUAGUUGGUGGGGUAAAGGCUCACCAAGGCGACGAUCCCUAGCUGUUCUGAGAGGAUGAUCAGCCACACUGGGACUGAGACACGGCCCAGACUCCUACGGGAGGCAGCAGUGGGGAAUAUUGCACAAUGGGGGAAACCCUGAUGCAGCCAUGCCGCGUGUGUGAAGAAGGCCUUCGGGUUGUAAAGCACUUUCAGCGACGAGGAAGGAGUGUGUGUUAAUAGCGCACAUUAUUGACGUUAGUCGCAGAAG